UACGUAGGUGGCGAGCGUUGUCCGGAUUUACUGGGCGUAAAGGGCGCGUAGGCGGGUGCUCAAGUCCGGGGUGAAAUCCUCCAGCUCAACUGGAGAACUGCCUCGGAUACUGGGCGUCUCGAGUGUGGUAGGGGUAUGCGGAACUAUCGGUGGAGCGGUGAAAUGCGUUGAUAUCGAUAGGAACUCCGGUGGCGAAGGCGGCAUACUGGACCACUACUGACGCUGAUGCGCGAAAGCCAGGGGAGCAAAGCGGG
rnacentral:rRNA from 1 species